UACAGGGGGUGCAAACGUUGCUCGGAAUUAUUGGGCGUAAAGCGCGCGUAGGCGGCUACUUAAGUCGGAUGUGAAAGCCCUUGGCUCAACUGAGGAAGUGCACCCGAAACUGAGUGGCUUGAGUACUAAAGAGGGUCGCGGAAUUCCCGGUGUAGAGGUGAAAUUCGUAGAUAUCGGGAGGAACACCGGUGGCGAAGGCGGCGACCUGGGUAGAUACUGACGCUGAGGCGCGAAAGCCAGGGGAGCAAACAGG
rnacentral:rRNA from 1 species